CAGCCCCACUCCUCCCCAAUUAUCUUUGCAUGAGAAGCAAUCACUCACUGGCGGCCAUGUUGGCUACGGCUUCAAAACCUAAAAUAUUCUUGUGUGGGUAAUGUCGCCCAGCUUUUGCAUACGUGAGCUAACCUGUUCUCCUUUCUCAGUUUACAGGCUUGCAAAUUAUUUUACAACGUUAUUAGCCACUUUGUUCACAGGCGGGAUGAACACUUCUCGUGCAGCAUUUGCAAACGAGAAGUCCAAGAGGAGCACCGAUUUGGCAAUUGAAAACUCCCUGCAUAGAAAUGUUGAAUAAGCCGAAAAUUGCACUCAAAGAUGUCCUCACGAACUCAAUUCCACUGCAAGAUUCAGAGGAAAACGGUUGAAAAAAUGCUGAAAUCACACUGAUGGGAAAAUAACGACACAGAGAACCAGUAUGAGCCUAUCAAAAUAAGAUGGCUGAUGAAGGGAGGAAAAUGAAGUGGAUUUCAGUCUCAAGUGCAAGGAUUUCAGGAAGUUUUUCGGGUGUUUGACUUUGGACAAGAGAUGGGUGAUUAAGGAUUGACCCACCAUGGAGUUGGUAUCGCCCAAAAGAAUCUCAGAAAAGGUCCCAUGAAGGUCACAUGUUUAGAAAGGUCAUGGUAAACGCGUGUUGAGCUUAACUACGGUUGAACAGAAACUUGUUAAUGAGAUUUCAUAAAGAAUGACUACCGCAAGAAACCAGACUAAACUAGUCAACCUUCCAUAGGAAGCAUAAAUUGAGGUCGUUCUGUCACUCCCGGCAGGCAGUUCUCUA